rnacentral:lncRNA from 1 species
GCUGGUGGAGCCCGUCCAUUAUAGAAAUUCGUCUGGGAUCCAUCUGCUGUAGAAGUUCGACUGAGAUCCGGCUCUUGUAGGAGCUCGAAUAAAAUUUGAAAGGUGGUCGACCGUCGUAGAAACUUGGAUGGAGUCUGGUCACUGUAGAAGUCUUGCUGUUAGAGAAGCUCGAACAUUGAUGAAGUUCGGAAGAAGUUCGGAGUAAAGUCGCUCGUGGUAGGAAG